AUGAAUAAGGCUACGUCCACACGUACCAGCGUAUUUUUGAAAACGCUGAUUUUUCUAUGCGUUUGCACCUUUUGUCCACACGUAAUUUAUGUCUGGCCGUACAUUGUGUUUGUAUUUCCAGGCACAUUUCACGAAGCAGAACGCAGUCUUCAGAGAUAUCCACGUGAACGCUGUGAUACGUCUGACCUUCAGUCCGAAGAAGAAACCCAGACCAGUCUUAAAAGAAAGCACAAACCAAAUCCCCUGUACACAUAUACGGACUCAGAGGAUGAGCAACCUACAAAAAAACUGUUUCCCCAGGCCCCUCGAGUGAAAAUACCAGCCCUCAUCACUCCAGUCUGCCCCCCAGCCCACUGAUAGCAACCAUCAUAAUGCCACACCCAGCUUCCGGCACCUUUCGCCACUCCGGCACAAACCGACACAGCUUUGCGAUCUCGCCAGCAUGCAGAGUCUGAUGUCUUCCCUAUAGAUGGUAUGCUUUUAAAAAAGCUUUAAAGCUGCAUCACAAUGUCAUUGU
rnacentral:lncRNA from 1 species